UAUUGCACAAUGGGCGCAAGCCUGAUGCAGCCAUGCCGCGUGUAUGAAGAAGGCCUUCGGGUNGUAAAGUACUUUCAGCGAGGAGNNCGNNNUNGUGGUUAAUAACCGCAGCGAUUGACGUUACUCGCAGNNNANGNACCGGCUAACUCCGUGCCAGCAGCCGCGGUAAUACGGAGGGUGCAAGUGUUAAUCGGAAUUACUGGGCGUAAAGCGCACGCAGGCGGUCUGUCAAGUCGGAUGUGAAAUCCCCGGGCUCAACCUGGGAACUGCAUCCGAAACUGGCAGGCUAGAGUCUUGUAGAGGGGGGUAGAAUUCCAGGUGUAGCGGUGAAAUGCGUAGAGAUCUGGAGGAAUACCGGUGGCGAAGGCGGCCCCCUGGACAAAGACUGACGCUCAGGUGCGAAAGCGUGGGGAGCAAACAGG
rnacentral:rRNA from 1 species